rnacentral:misc_RNA from 1 species
GCAGCAGCUUCCAAAGGGGUCUUCCCUACUAUUUUAUUAGCUUCUCUUCCGUCCCAUUGUUUCCCAUACUUGACCAGAAAUCCUUUUAAAACAUCAGUUACUAUUUCAUCUGUAUUGAGAAAGGUACCAUCUAAAUCAAGGAUCACUGCAGAAACAAGCUUCUUGAAUGGGUUUGCCAUUAACGUUUUAGAAAUCAUACAUAAAACUCGCCAAUAUUAUACUCUGAUUUUAAGAAUGC